UUUUCAAUCUGUCUCCUAUAGACAGGCAUCAAGUGAUCACUAAUCAUAGUUUGGGAAAGCCUCAGUUUACUAUAAAGAGAUCUUGGGGUGACGAAAAUCCCAACUUUAGCUUCGCCCAGUGACUGGGUAUUUUCUGAAUCGCUGCUGGAAGGGGAAUCACCUUCACUCUCUGGCUCUGCACUAUCAAGUUGAAGGGUAACAAUGUGCAUGAUCUUUCCUGGAGGAAAGAAUCUGUGCACUUCCUUAGUUUCUUGAGCAGUGCUUGCAGACUCGCUCUCACCUACCUCCGCCAUGGCCACUGCCUCUUCUUCCCUUAUUUCCUUUGCCACAUCAGCAUCCUCGCCAUCUGCUCGAUCAUAAAGCUCAUGCUCAAGUUGUUUCCACAAUUCAAUUUCAUUCAUUUGGUCUUCAUGUGUAUUACUCCUAAAGUCCUCACCACCAUCAAGAUGAGCAUCUACAUCCAUGUGUUUAGGCAUCUCAUCUGAAAAAUAUUCAAUUUCUGAUGUCCAUUCUGCUUCUCCAGAACUUACAGGAAGUUCAAUGGUCUCUCUUGUGGUAUUCUUGGUAGAUAUAAGAGGCUCAGAAGUGUCUACUCUGUGGGAAGAUGUAGGUGAACUUCCAUCUGCUGAGUUGGAACAUGCAGUUGCACCUCGAUGACGGGGACCAAUGCAUGACCAUGAAGAUAGGCGAAGAGAAGGACGGGUUGUCCAUGCUGCCUGAGCCAUGCUUUGGGCCCUCCUCAUCACAACCUGAGUACCAUUAGAAACUGGACGCAGAAUUGCUCCUGCCCCAGCAACCUUCGCUCUAGCACUU
rnacentral:misc_RNA from 1 species